ACAGAAGUGGUUGGGCGUCGUGAGGAACGCAUCGGCGGCAGAACACUCAAGCGGCUGGUUGUUGAGAGCACGCCAGCUGAAGAGCACCCCUGCACACUGGCAGGCCAUCCACAGGUGUCAGAAACUCAGCUCAGCUGGAAGAAACUUGAUGUACCAGGUAUCAGAGUAGCAAGUAAAGCCACAAGCCAAAAAUGAAAGAGAAUCUUUUAAGUGCUUAUCGUGAUGGUGUAAGUAAUUGUCCAAAAGAAACGCCGAUUCCUUCUGUUCCAUUUUUACCUGUGGAUUGUGGAUUGAAAUAACCAUUGGACCAUGAGGAGAGACUCUGAAGAGAGGCUAGUGAUAUGUGAUAUAAUACUCUUUUGUGACGUUGGACCAUGGCAGUGAGCCGCAGCUCCCAGUCAGCAAUGCGAUCCCAAGAAUAAACAACCGAUUCUUGACAGUGUCCUAUGUUGCCAGUCGAUUUUGUUCAACAGUAGGUACAUGCAAGUACACCCCACUCCCAAAUUAAAAAGAUUGACCUUAGCCAAACAUAACACGGUAAGAGCAAGUGCAAUGAAAUGGUUUCAAAGAACACUUAAACAGAGUAAUGUAAAUAUUAUUCAAGGGGUGCCAUGUUAUUUUAUUAACGAAUAUGAUCAUUGAAUUGUUGUGAGCAGUAGCAAAGCCUUGAAGCAACUAUCUUGCUUAUUACUGCGUGAAGUUUCUUCAAAGUUAGAAGUAAACUCCUGACUAAUUCUCCCGUUCCCUAAUGUUGGUCAUAAGUUGCUUCUUGAAAUACUCCCAAAUUUUCAUUUUCUAUCUUCUACUAAAACUAAACUUGCCAUUUUUUUUGUCGCUAUGUCUUCAAUUCAUUCUUAAUAUUUGUUUUGGCUUUUAGCUUCUGUUGUCCCCUGCCAAUGCUUCUCCCAAAAUCACACUCUACCACACAUCCCUGCCUAUAAGCUUUCAUUUAUGGUCUUAAAUUAUGUCCUGCUUCCUGGUCUAUUCACUCAGAUUUAUCACUCUGAACUUCUCAUCUCCAGUUAUUCAAACUUAAAUUUGUUGACAACUCUUUUUCCCUUUUUCAGUAGACAGGAGCAUCACUAUCAUUAUUACAAAAUAUUGAUUUCAAUGUGUACUCCAAAGUGCUGUUAACAUGUUCUCUCUUUCCACAAAAUCAAUAUUUUAUAAUUCACUACCCAAAGAAGCUGAGAUUCCUUAGCAUAGCAAAGCACAUCUUAAAAGACCCAGCACACUUUGAUGUAAUUUUAGCAAAAUGGUUUUCUCACUUUUAAUAAAGACCUCCUUAAAUUUC